UACAGAGGGUGCGAGCGUUAAUCGGAAUUACUGGGCGUAAAGGGUGCGUAGGUGGUUACGUAAGUUAGAUGUGAAAGCCUCGGGCUCAACCUGAGAAUUGCGUUUAAUACUGUGUAGCUAGAGUGUUGUAGAGGUAAGUGGAAUUUCCGGUGUAGCGGUGAAAUGCGUAGAUAUCGGAAGGAACACCAGUGGCGAAGGCGACUUACUGGACAAUAACUGACACUGAGGCACGAAAGCAUGGGGAGCAAACAGG
rnacentral:rRNA from 1 species